GACGAACGCUGGCGGCGUGCCUAAUACAUGCAAGUCGAACGCAUUUUCUUUCACCGUCGUUUGCUACACCGACAGAAAAUGAGUUGCGAACGGGUGAGUAACACGUUGGUAACCUGCCCAUCAGCGUGGGAUAACACUUGUAAACAGGUGCUAAUACCGCAUAAUUCCAUUUCCCGCAUGGUAGAUGGUUGAAGGGCGCUUUUGCGUCACUGAUGGAUGGACCCGCGUUGCAUUAGCUAGUUGGUGGGGUAACGGCCUACCAAGGCUGCGAUGCCUAUCCGGCCUGGGAGGGUGAUCGGCCACACUGGGACUGAGACACGGGCCAGACACCUACGGGAGGCAGCAGUAGGGAAACUUCGGGAAAGGAGGCAAGGCUGAACGAGAAACGCCGCGGGAGGGAAGAAGGGUGUCGGAUCGUAAAACUCUGUUGUUAGAGAAGAAAAAGGAUGGGAGUGGAAAGUUCAUCCCUUGACGGUAUCUAACCAGAAAGCCAUGGCUAACUACGUA
rnacentral:rRNA from 1 species